rnacentral:tRNA from 1 species
ACUUUCAAAGGACAAGAGCCGUCCACUAGUCUUAGGCAUUACCAACUCUUGGUGCAACUCCAAGUGAAAGUA